AGGUUUGAUUCUGGCUCAGAUUGAACGCUGGCGGCAGGCCUAACACAUGCAAGUCGAGCGGUAGAGAGAAGCUUGCUUCUCUUGAGAGCGGCGGACGGGUGAGUAAUGCCUAGGAAUCUGCCUGGUAGUGGGGGAUAACGUUCGGAAACGGACGCUAAUACCGCAUACGUCCUACGGGAGAAAGCAGGGGACCUUCGGGCCUUGCGCUAUCAGAUGAGCCUAGGUCGGAUUAGCUAGUUGGUGGGGUAAUGGCUCACCAAGGCGACGAUCCGUAACUGGUCUGAGAGGAUGAUCAGUCACACUGGAACUGAGACACGGUCCAGACUCCUACGGGAGGCAGCAGUGGGGAAUAUUGGACAAUGGGCGCAAGCCUGAUGCAGCCAUGCCGCGUGUAUGAAGAAGGCCUUCGGGUUGUAAAGUACUUUCAGCGGGGAGGAAGGGAGUAAAGUUAAU
rnacentral:rRNA from 1 species